rnacentral:rRNA from 1 species
GACGAACGCUGGCGGCGUGCUUAACACAUGCAAGUCGAACGGAAAGGCCCUGCUUGCAGGGUACUCGAGUGGCGAACGGGUGAGUAACACGUGGGUGAUCUGCCCUGCACUUCGGGAUAAGCCUGGGAAACUGGGUCUAAUACCGGAUAGGAGCCAUUUUUAGUGUGAUGGUUGGAAAGUUUUUUCGGUGUAGGAUGAGCUCGCGGCCUAUCAGCUUGUUGGUGGGGUAAUGGCCUACCAAGGCGGCGACGGGUAGCCGGCCUGAGAGGGUGGACGGCCACAUUGGGACUGAGAUACGGCCCAGACUCCUACGGGAGGCAGCAGUGGGGAAUAUUGCACCAUGGGCGCAAGCCUGAUGCAGCGACGCCGCGUGGGGGAUGACGGCCUUCGGGUUGUAAACUCCUUUCGCUAGGGACGAAGCUUUUUGUGACGGUACCUAGAUAAGAAGCACCGGCUAACUACGUG